AUUUCUGAAAUUCAAUUAGUGGUGUGAUAUAGCCAAAAAAGAAAAAGAAAAAAAAGAAUGGAUUUUCUUCUCUAGAUAAAGUUGUGGGAACUCUCUUUAAAGACAACUUCCAUGAAAUUUAAUGGGGUUCUUCCUCCCUAUUUCAUAAAAAACAAAGGAAAAAAAAAGAAAAAAGAAAAGAAAAGAGAAAUGACUCCCAUUGGUGAUAAAACCGUGUGCUCGCCUGUACACGGUUUCCAAGUCUCUCUCUUUUCUGAGGCUGCUAGCUUUGUUUCUUCUUGUUGGUUUCUUGGCUAAUCUUGAGAAGUUGUAUUUUUUGUGAGUUUUGGUUGGCUUGCUUCGUCUACAUUUCCAUAUCUGCUUUGUUCAGGAGCAGCAGAUUGCCAAUGGAAUUGAGCACCCAAACAGCCUCUGCCUUUCGUCCUUCAUCUGAAUGGAACCACGAUGUGUUUUUGAGUUUCAGGGGCGAGGACACUCGACUUAGCUUUAUAUCCCAUUUA